UGUUAAUUUUCCGCUCAUACGCUUAUGUCAAUAACAUGCCGACGUUGUCUUUAUUUUCAGUCGAUAGCCAGCAAUAACAUCGAAGACUAAUAAACAAAGUUGCAAUUGUUCAAAAAGCUACUCGAAGACUCGUAUAUAAGCUUCGACGCAAAACAAAAGAACUGACGCAGUAUAUGUUAAAUAUUGGAUGUGAAUCUCAUUAGCAUAAUUUCCGUGCGUGAUAAUAAAAUUGGCGACAAAAUCAAGCUAACAGGUUGGUGAUAACAUAUUUUGUAAUAAUAUCCGUAGUUCAAGCGAUCUCUGUAUCUCAAACGUGGUGGUCUAGUGUAGGUAGUAUUCUACAAUAAGCUGUCGCGGUUUGUGUCUAAACUACCUGAAAAAGAUAUCUCAAACGUGGUGGUCUAGUGUAGAUAGUAUCUACAAUAGCUGUCGUGGUUUGUGUCUGAACUACCUGAAAAAGAUAUCUCAAACGUGGUGGUUCAAUGUAGGUAGUAUUCUACAAUAAGCUGUCGUGGUUUGUGUCUGAACUACCUGAAAAAGAUGUCUCAAACGUGAUGGUUCAGUGUAGGUAGUAUUCUACAAGAAGCUGUCGUGGUUUGUGUCUGAACUACCUGAAAAAGAUAUCUCAAACGUGGUGGUCCAGUGUAGGUAGUAUUCUACAAUAAGCUGUCGUGGUUUGUGUCUGAACUACGGCAACUACCUGAAAAAGAUAUCUCAAACGUGGUGGUGCAGUGUAGGUAGUAUUCUACAAUAAGCUGUCGUGGUUUGUGUCUGAACUACCUGAAAAAGACUUCUCAAAGUUAACGUAGUGGCCCAGUGGCGGGCAGUGCAGCUAGGUUAGUAAAUAAGUUGUCGUGGUUUGUGUAUGAACUAUCCGAAAAGAUAUCUCAAACGUGGUGGUCCAAUGAAGGUAGUAUUCUAUAAUAAGCUGUCGCUAUUUAGCCUAUUUUGCGCUGGAAAAGGCCAGACGAACUUUAUUAGUGUAUGUAUGCAGCUAAAUAUCCGUAAAGCCGGUUUUCCACUAGGCGGAAUUUUGCGCGCGGAGCGGAAUUUUUCUUUGUCUUGUGAUUUCUCGGGUGGAACUAAUUAGAAAAGACAAGGAAAAAUUCCGCUCCGCGCGCAAAAUUCCGCCUAGUGGAAAAUAGGCUUAAACAGCAAUAAUUUAACAGUUGAUAACCCAUUACCCUCUCGAGGUUUCCACUAAAAACAUUCGGUCGAUCAAAUGCAGACCACACACUUGUAUUUAAUAUGCAUUUAUUAUUGGUUGCGCCUCUCUGAUUGCACUGAUAAGAUUUAGAAAGACAACAAGCGAGAAUUUUUUUAGUUUAUCUGAAAUCAGACACACUGACACAGGCUGACAUACAAAAACAAUUACAGUUAAAUAUCAAAAUUUAAUAAAUAACACGAUAGAGGUAUAGUUUAGAGCCAUACAGGGUGGUUUUCGCUAUUAAAGUUUCUGUGAUCACAGUAGAAGUUUUGCAUUGGCAUUUCUAUGUUUUGAAAGAUUGGCGUAAUGUUUGAGGGAGCUGACUCCAUGCAAGGACAAAUUUAUUACAUUUUGGUUAAACUUGGAAUCAACUUGGAUGAGAAAUUAGGAAGACAAUUCCCAUUAAUCAUUAUAGACUAAUUUUUUAUCUUGGCAAAAAAAGUAUAUUCCCAGAAAGAGCAUACUAAAAUGAGUAAAAUUACAACGUUUGGUUGCGAAAUGUUGUCAAAUGCGGAAAUAUAGCCUUGCAAAGUUCGCAAAUUUUGUAUACUUUUGUAUUGCGUGCGGAAAUUGCUACCACAUUUGGGCCGAAAAUGCGGUAGCAAUUUCCGCACGCAAUACAAAAGUAUACAAAAUUUGCGAACUUUGCAAGGCUAUAUUUUCCGCAAUUUACAACAUUUCGCAACCAAACUUUGCAAUUUUACUCAUUUUAGUAUGAUCUUUCUAGCUGUGGUGAUUUAUUGCAUCUCCUUGCCUUGUUUUAAAAUUAGUCUAUAAUGGGAAUUGUCUAUCUCUUUACAUAUAUGAUUAAUUCGCUCUGUGCAACAGCCGUAAAUUAUUUUUAUAGUAUCAUUCAAGCUGACAAUUGAAUAUAGAAGUCGAUAGGUUGUUUUGGUGGCAAAUUGCGUGUCAUUGUGUCUGUGUGUAUUUUGAGGAAACAUAAAUCACAGACGCGGUUGCCGAACUUCGAUAAGACAAUUUGCAUGCAUAAGUCAUUAGGUGCGUCCACUUUUAAAACCUCCCAUUUCCUUGCGAAACAGAAGGUUAGGAAAUGGGAACAAAUACGCGUGGGUUGAUCUCAUUUUCAAUUCAAGCAAAGUAUAAGGAAGUAGGAUGCCGGCUUCCUUGUAUAGUUCCUUUCAAUCUUAGCCAAACAAGUUCAGAACAAUGACAAUGCAUAUAUGUCUGUAGAAUGUUAGAAUUUCAAAAGCUAAUUUUAUUUAUAUUGGAUAGCUCUACCAGUUGUAAACUGUUCUUCCUAGAGAUCCAGUAAGAAUCAUUUCUUAUUGAUCCAGUGUUACUACAGGAGGAAACCUAAACUAAACUAACUUUAUUUAUACUGGAUAGCUCUAUCAGUUCUAAGCUGUUCUUCCUAGAUGUCCAGUAAGGAUAAUUUCUUAUUCAUCCAGUCAGUGUUACUACAGGAGGAAACCUAAACUAAACUAACUUUAUAUUUACACUGGAUACUCAUAGCUCUAUCAGUUCUGAACUGUUUUCCCCAAAGGUCCAGUAAGGUUCAUCUCUGUUAUUUCCUGUGAUAAUGUGUUAUUUCCGAAGCCGAAAAGGAAGGGCAACGCCUGAUUAUCUCCCAACAAACUUCAUCAUUGCUUUAUGUACAAAUUUUAUUACUUGUUAUGAUAAUAACAGUAGAAAAUGGAUCAAAGAUAAUAAAUUAACGCCACCUCACUCCUCGGAGGCGGCAUUUUUAAUUACAACCAUUUGGCAACGACUCAAUCUCAUAUCCUCUAGAUCUAGUUCCUGAAAUUACCACAAUCGAUUGAAACCGAUGAUGACGUUGCCUUUUGGGGCCGGAAUAAAUUUCGUUUUGAUUUCCUCCUGUAGUAACACUGGAUCAAUAAGAGAUGAUCCUUACUGGACCUCUGGGGAGAACAGUUUAGAACUGAUAAAGCUAUAUCCAGUAUAAAAUAUAAGUUUAGUUUAAUUAGGUUUCCUCCUGUAGUAACACUGGAUCAAUAAAAGAUGAUCCUUACAGGACCUCUAGGGAGAACAGUUUAGAACUGAUAAAGCUAUCAAGUUUAAAUAAAGUUAGCCGAUCGAGCUUCGACCAAACCCUAGUACGCCAACUCAAAUCUAUAAACCCCAAAGCGCUUGGAAAAUUCAAGAAAUGCCCACAUAUCGCUAAAUCUUCUGUUGAAAGCGACAGGAUUAGGGACCCAGUGAGGCUAUUGUCCGGCAAAGUUAGCAAGGAACCAACACAAUAUAACUUAAUGCCAUAAACGAGUGUGUAUUUAAUCCUCGACAAAUAACAAGAAUGUUUGGUAAAAUCGUACUAAGUCGAAGCAUGUAUUAAGUCAAUAAAAGGAACUAUACGUUGGGCUCUUCAAAUUGCAACCGCUUUAGUUGGUGGGAGAGUAAUUAAACUGUAUAUAUAGUUACUGGGAUAUUGUUCUGGAACUAUAGUCUGUAUAGAAAAGCAACAAAUUGUCAAAAUUGAAAAGUGCUUGCAAUUAUUUUCGUGGUACAUCAAAAAAAUUCCACGUAUAUAGGAAGGUAAAUUUGUUUUUCUUGUAUUUUGUGAUACCACUUAUAACCAUAGUCGUAUAGUAAACUAUAUGUUAAAACUAUAUUAUAACUGUAUUUAUGCUGCUGAAUAUACGGGAUUAUAGCUUCAUCAGUUGUAAACUGUUCUCCCUCUUGAAAAAAGGAGAACGAUCUCUUCAUAUGGGCCUUUUGACCGAAGCUACAUGCAAUAUACUGAUAACACUGGUGCGUGUGCUAUUAUACAAUGUCCUUGAGUUAGAAUAUAUUGCGCUAUACCUCUUUUCUUAUUUAAAAGAAGAAACUAUUAUGCAAGGAUCCUAUAAUUCCAAUGCUAUCUAAUUCUAUUCUCUCUCCAGAGCUUUCAAAAUGCGAAAGCAUUCGAAACACCAAUGCAUGGUAUGUUCAUAUACUAUACUGAUGAGCCCGCUUAGUAUCGUAUCGUCGUAUCGUAAAAAUUUAUUUCAAGACGCUAGGCUCAUCAACAUACGUUGGUUUUCAUGAGGGGCGUCGUCAAUUCAUAUACAAAGUAUUUACAAGAAAAAUACGUAGAGACAAAGAAAGACUAUUUACAAGAGUGCAUGCUGAAUAUAUACAGGAGGCGUGACGCAUGGGACGGGAAAAUUUUAAAUUACAUGAACGGCUCGAUACUAUAUUAUAGGUCGAAAUCGGCAAAAAAUUGUCCAUUCCGGUCAGGUGAAAUAAAGCUUUCCGAUGGAAAAUUUGACCCCAUUUGACUGAGAACCCACCUAGUGCAAUGUGAGAUCUCAACUACCCCGGCCGGCUCAUUUCUCAUGUGAACGCAAAUUGAAUUUUAUAUGCGUUUAACAAAUUAAGGGCAUCCAGACUUGCGCUCAUAUGAAAAGACCGUCGAAAUUUAAAGAACGCCACAGCGCUUACACUAGUAAAUAUGGUAUAUAUAGACUAUAGUUCCCAGCCCACUCAAUAUCCCGGCGCGUUAUAUAUGACAUUGAUUGAAGAGAAGUUAAAAUAGAACAUUAGCUCCCCAUGGCAAUAUAUAAACAUUAACAUGACAUAGUAUAUGGUCUACCUAGAUGACAGUGUAUUUAAUGCGGUCACAUAAGCUACAGGGAGCCCCAGCGUGUCAUUGUAAUUGACAGCGCAAAUACCAGCUUGCAAUUACAUGGCUCAAUAAAUGCUCCUAUAUCAGUUGAUUUGUGAGAAAAGUAUGCUGUUGAUCAUUUUUCCUCUGUGAGUUGUCGUUAUUACAAAAUAAUUAAAAAUAGAAUCGGCUACGGCCGCCAAGUCUACAACUCUUAGAAAUAUCUUAUUUUGGUAUACUCGACAAUUAAGUAAAGGAAUCAUUUAAUUUUUUAUAGUAAAUGCAUUUCUCGUUUGAGAUUGUUUUAUAGCUGAUGUCGCUACCAAUUGUGCAAACUUCACAUCUUAUAAAUAAUAACCUCAACAGCACAACUAACUAUUGACAAAUGAAUUUGACAAAGAAUAUAAGGCAUGAAUUAUCAAUCGUAAUAUUUUUAGUUGGAAUAUAAUAUACAUGACAUUCAAAUGGUUUUUCAACGAUAUAAAAUAAAUUCACUUAAAAAAAUUAUAGAAUUGUAUAAGAUUUCCAAGUUUCUGGAAUACGCUAGAAAGGCCACGAUUGGCCGAAAUUUUACCUGUCAAUCAUUUUCGAGAUGACUCUAAAUUAUCUAAAUCCCACAAGUUGCAGUUGGGUUAAGGUUAAGAUAAGAGAUACCACAAUAUACAAGUAUUUAGCAUUUCAAGUUUUGGGAAACAGCCACUGAAGAAUCCCACUGCAAGCUCGAUUUUAGUACUCGAUCACAAUGGUCGUGUAAAUAUAAAUAACUUUCGCCAGAGCCCAUGCAGUUCUAGACCUGCUACGAAUGCUAACAAGGUUUCCGUUCUUUCAUUAGCGAAGAUAUAAACAUUUUGUUUUUUGCUUACUUCACAGUUAAAUAAAGCUGCUUACAAGGAAACGGGCAUAUAAUUCGACUGUUUUACUAGAAACGUCAAGUGCCAACUGGAUCAAUUUUGAAUCGCGGAUUUAAUCAAUUUGAUAAGGUAUUGUUUUAUAGUUUGUAAAUGUAUUGUAACUUUAGCAGAGCUAUACUAUAUUGGGAAUGUGCUUUUAACGUAUAGUUGAAUAAAGCUAGAAUAUAAGGCACUACGUUGAUAAUUAGACUGCUUUACGUACAAAGCUGUUAACUGGAUUAAAUUUGAAUCGGAUUUGAGCAUUUAGAGGUAAUUUCUGGUGGUUUAUUAAUGUAGUAACUUUAAAAAGAAGUAUUUCGGAAUGCGUUUUAAUACGAAGACACGCUGGUAGCUCUUUGUUGCGAAAUGAAGUUAUAUCGCGUCACAUGCCAAUACAAAAGAGCUGACUUCGUUUUAUUCAUACUGGAUAACCGUAUCGGUUCUCUCUAAGAUGUCCGCGUUGUUCUCGCCAGAAAUGACAAAGCGCAUUAGUGCGUAUUGCGUCUUAAUGGCUUAAUCCUGGUUUCCAUAUGUUCGUAAUGGCUAUAUUAUCCGCAUUUUACAACAUUUCGCAACGAAACUUUGGAAUAUUACUAAUUUUGUGAUGCUCUUUCAAGCUAUGAUGAAAUUUUUGUCUAGAUCAAAAUUUAGUCUAUAUAUAAUGCAAAUGGUCCAUUGAUGGCGUCAGACACUGUAAAAUAAUGUGGAUAUAAUCAAAUAUGCUUUCACAUCAAGCCUUCAAGAAUUACGCGCUUACCUAUAUACUUAGCCUAGACUAUUAUAUUUUUUACAACAUUAGGGCCAUUUAUACGGGACAAAAUAAGACGCGACUUACAAUAAGACGCGACUUAAAUAAGACGCGAGUUUGUCGUAUAAAAGGUACAAAAUUCUUAUGUAAGACGCGUCUUGGAUAAGACGCGUCUUAUACAUAAGAACAGGACUUUUAGCUGUUCUUAUUUAAGUCGCGUCUUAAAUAAGAAAUUUUAGACAAAAAUUCUAACUACACAUGCCCGAAACUUGAAACAACGUAAAAUUAUUAGCCUUGCAUAUUCAAACAAAAACAACCAAAACAACAUUAUAGCUAUAGCAAGUAAAUAAGAAUAAAUCCGUAGAGAACCAUUUAUGCGAUAACUCAGCUUAUAUAAGACGCGUCUUAUGUAAGUCACGGCUUAUUUUGUCCCCUAUAAAUGGCCCUAAUGUCUUUUAACUGUGUUUAUCCUCACCCAUCCUGUCAACUUUCCCUGUGGGAGAAAACCCACGACUUUCGGCAGGGCGUUCACAGACUCUUUUCACAUGAGUCCGUAUCAUAGAUAUCUUAUAUAGACUACAUAGCGCAUCUCUUUUAGUAAAAUUGAAGCCAAGAAUAUUCCAGCGGUUACCCCCAUUUGAAUAGAUGGCGGCCAUAUUGGAGUUUCCCACUCGCUAAUAAACGCUUAAAAAACAACAAUAACUUUCAUCAUUUGAAUAGUUUGAAAAUGCAGUUGAAUAGGUUUAACUUAAUGUUUAAGUUCCGUGUUUAAAAAAUAGAAAACAUACGAAUCUUCUCAUUUCGUGGGAAUAUCCUGAGUCUGCAAUCACGGCUUCAAUUUUUGAAUUGGAGAAUAGGGAGAGAUGCACAAUCUAAUGUAUAUAAGAUAUCUAUGGUCCGUAGCGAGAAUCGAACCAACGAUCUUUAUAGAGGUGACAGGCGCUUGCCUCGACAACAGAAUUUCUUUCGUCGGGAGUUAGUAGCGUGGAUGAAUGACGGAGGGGAUCAGGAAGUUGAUACUGAGAGUGCGUCAGUGCGCAUCGCGCCUUGUAGUAGAUCAAUAAGUGAUUUUGGCAGACAGUGCUCUCAGCCCACUUGACGAACACGCUGUUCUGCAUGCAUGGUGUUAAGUACUGUUUACAUGCACUAUACUACAGGCCUUGGCCUGGCUUUGGCCAGACCAAUGUAAAUGUGGCCCGUUUGCACCAUCACACUGGCAUUUUGAGACUGGCUCACUUUGGCCUCGAAUUUUGCAAUACAUUUUGUGUAGUUUUACGUGUUGUGACGUUGUCCGCUGGUUGGCCGUUAAUCUCGCACAACGCGGGCACAGGUUGUCAUGGAAAUAAGGCCCAGGCUAGGGCCAAAAGUGUUUACUUUGCCACAAGCCUAGGCCUAGGCCACCGGUUGUAGUGAUUUCCUGGUAAUCGUUCCAUGUUUCGCGCACCAAUAUAGUAAACGUUAUGUAAUGGAUAUUAUAGUGUACUGAAAAGUUCACUAGAUGCCUCCAUACACAUAUAUACACACCCUAACCCUAACCCCAACCUUAAACCUAACCCUAACCCCUAACCCUAAUACCUAACCCUAACCUAUAUUGGUGCGCGAAACAUGGAAUGAUAACCGAUUUUCUCGCCUAGGUCAGAUUUCCUGGCCUAGGUCAGGCCAAGGCUAGGCCAAGGUCUGUUUACACUGUCAAAAUGUAGAGUAGGGUACGUAAACACGACUAUACAGAGUACAAUAGCGAGCUCAAGCGAUACAGAACGACAACGCUCUACCACUGCAAACAAACUCGUUGAACUAAAUGAUGAUAAGGAAAAUCUGUCGUCUAUUAUCCAUCGUAUAAAAUUAAUACAGUUUAAGGAUCGAGGAAUGGACCAUUCGCAUUAUAGACUAAAUUUUGAUCUAGACAAAAAUUUCAUCACAGCUUGAAAGAGCAUCACAAAAUUAGUAAUAUUCCAAAGUUUCGUUGCGAAAUGUUGUAAAAUGCGGAUAAUAUAGCCAUGCGAAGUUUGCCGUUUUUCAGUCAUUUUGCAUUACGCACGGGAAAUUGACAGCCCAAUCGGGUGUUGGGGCAUCAAUUUCCCGUUUGUAAUACAAAAUGCGGACUGAAAAUUGCAAAUUUCGCAAGGCUAUAUUAUCCGCAUUUUACAACAUUUCGCAACGAAACUUUGGAAUAUUACUAAUUUUGUGAUGCUCUUUCAAGCUGUGAUAAAAUUUUUGUCUAGGCGAAGCACAAUAAAUAAAAUAAAUAAAUACAUAAGAUUGCAGGAUUUAUGGUUCAGAAGAGUUCUAGGAUCUAAUUUGAAAAUAACCAUUGUCUCAGCUUGAAAUGUAGCCGUUGGCGUUAUACAAAAAGACGUGAUCAUCUGUGAUUUUCCGUUGUAAACACAACGAGAACGACAUCUGAGAUCAGUUAAUUCACUAUUUCUUUUCUACGAUAUUACGAUUGCUAUUAUACUAUUUGCAGUCGUCGAUGUGUCCUCCUUGCAACGGUUCUCAGUUAAUGUCGGUAGUUUCUAGUUUUUGAAGUGUAAAAUUUAAGGCUGCUGCCUUUGUCACGUCUCGUACUCGAUCAAUUACAAGGAGUGACGAGCAAGCAUUACAAUAAUUGUCACGUCUCGUACUCGAUCAAUUACAGGGAGUGACGAGCAAGCUCGAGCAGAUAAUCUACAAACUACACGGGGUUUCGGUUUCGGUGGGGUUAGUCGUGCAUGGGUUGGAUUCUCGCUACGAACUCACGUGAAAAGAGUCAUUCAACGCUCUGCCAAAAGUCGUGGGUUGUCUCCGGGUGCUCCGCGGGUUUUUUCCCACAGGGAAAAUCGACAGGGUGGGUUAGGAUAAACACAGUUAAGAAAGUAAUAUCACAAUUGUUGUAAAAGACAAAACAGUCUAGGCUCAGUAAUUACUAUUACGUGAGCGUAAUACUUGAUAAAACACAAAACAAUAAUAGUAAUACUUGCUAUAAAGCGCAUUUGAUUCACCGAUGUAAACUUGCUCUACUGAUAGAAAUGCUAUAAUCGUAAUUGUAACACUAUAGGAACUGACUACUGAUUUCUGUGUUCAGUUUGAAAUUAUCGAUACUAUAUCCAAGGAAUCCAAGGAAUUAUCGAUACCAUGGUCCAAUAUACUUGCUUAAUUUCUUGAACAAAUUAGGGCAGUAAAAUUAUACCUUUCAAGAUCCAAAUAAUAGUAGCUUUUUCCUGUUCCCAAAAAAUCUCUUGAGUCUUGGCAACAGAAGAGAAAUUGACAAUUCCUAUUAUAUAGACUAUACUUUUUAUCUUGUCAAAAAAAGUACUGAUAUUCCCGGAAAGAGCAUACUAAAACUACUAAAAUUGCAAAGUUUGGUUGCGAAAUGUUGUAAAAUACGGAAAAUAUAGCCAUGCAAAGUUUGCAAUUCAGUUGUAUACUUUUGUAUUGCGUGGGAAAUUGCUAACAUUUUCGGGCCCAAAUGUGGUAGCAAUUUCCGCAUGCAAUACAAAAGUGUACAAAAUUUGCGAACUUUUCAAGGCUAUAGUUUCCGCAUUUUAUAACAUUUCGCAACCAAACUUUGCAAUUUUACUCAUUUUAAUAUGCUCUUUCUAGCUGUGGUGAUUUAUUUGCAUCUCUUUGCCUAGUUUUAAAAUCAGUAUAAAGUGAAUUGUCUAUUGCUGGCCGCUUCAACACUCAACAGCUGAAGAUAUUUAUAUGCAACGCCAACGACUAAAUUUUUCUCACACUUUCAAAUUUGUGCAGACAUUUCGUCGUGUGGUUUCUAUAAAGACUUUUUUUUUACUUUCUACUGAGAUGUCUUAAAGUAUACUUUCUCACGCAUACUUUGUCCUAAGACCUUGAAUCUCACUUUAAAACGUGUGAAAUAACACCUGGGUAAUCCUUAUUUUCAAGUAAAGCUGUUGAGAGAUUAUAGAUGCAUGCCAAAUCCAUCUGCAGUUGAAAUCGAAAUCAGUUUUCUAUUCUAAUUUUGGCAUCAGAGAGUCACUUAAUAUUAUGUCGUAUAUGCUACUUAAAAUUAAGAGAAUUGUUUACAUAUGCUAAAAUGUUUCGUUUUUGGGACUUUUAAAUUUCAAAUUGUAUAUAAUGCAUAUAGCAAAGAAUAUAUUUCUUCUUCUUAUAAAUCUGCUUUAAAAUCUUUUGCGAAAGCAAACGGUAUAAAUGUUUAAAAUGAAAAAUCUUACAUCGAAGAUAAAAUUAUCAUGAAAGUGUGAUACAUCCGAUGACAAGCUGUCGUGGUUUUGUGAUCAUAUCAGGCUCAGGGACCUAAAAAAGAUUACAAGAACCAUCUUUCUUUUACCAAAUACAAACCGCGACAGCUUAAUGAUAGGAUUUUAUGUGAUAUAGUAUAGACACCCAUGCGUGCAGUUUUAAUCUUCGUAUUAGGAAACUAAGCUGACAAACAAAACUAGCAAGAACCCUUACCAAAGACAUACUGAAAAUUUUCCGGAUGAGAAAGCCAUCAAGCCAAUAUCGAGUGAAAAAACUCAAGUGGCUUCUUGGACACGUCAUAUAGACAUAUGUUUUUCAUUGGAUGACAUAUAUAUUUGCUCCACCUGUAUAUUAAUUUAAAACUCUUGUUCCUUAGUUAUUUGCCGUCAUUAUUCUCCUGUACCUCGUGGCUUAUAAAGAGUUUCCUGUUGGCUUGAAAGCUUUUCUGUUCAAAUCCACGAUCCACUGUUAAUCCUACCUCAUAAUUUGUUCUGUUCGUAGGAAGUGCCGGCCAUAAACGAGACACAGAGGUCAGCGAAGCGUCGCGAUAACACGAGAUAACAACACAAUCAAUUGUCAUUUGACAUAAGAACUUUCUCUGCUGUGUACUUUGUUGGUUUUAAUGAAGAUGGAACGGAUUGCCACGCAUGUUUUUGUCAUUUGGGCCUUAAUCAUUUCAUCACAAGCAGUGAAUUUUUUGCCAUCAAUUCAAUGGACACCCGACAACCCUAU